rnacentral:misc_RNA from 1 species
AGAGACGUUGCCCUUCGGGUAUACCUCCCACCCUUUGUUAUUAUACCUUUGUUGCUUGUCGGGCCCGUUCCUCGGACCACCGGCUUACUGCUGGUCAGUGCCCCGCCAGAGGACCUAUAACUCUGUUUGUUAAUAUUGUCUGAGUACUAUAUAAUAGUUA